UCCGCUCCCUUCGCCACCUUCGCCUAGUUAAACCUGACUUCUCGUUCCAAACCGCUCUCUGCUCUCGACUUCUCCCACGAUCUCACCUCGCUCGCUUCUCGUCCCAAGGGUUUGGGGUUUGGGUUCGCUGGGUUGCCCGAUCUGAUUGAUCUGGUCCUUCGGUCGGUGCAGCGGGGGCGCAUGGCCGGCCCACCGGCGAGCCCCUCCGGCGACGGCGGAAGCCCCACGGCCGGCCGCAUCGGGGAGGAGCGGGACGUGUUCGUGCCCGUCGCGGAUAUCACCCGCAUCAUGGGGAAGGUCAUCCUGCCAGACGGGAAGAUGGACGGGGGGGCUGUGCGGGAGCUGGUCUCCGAGUUCAUCACCCGCCGGGCGAGCAGCGAGAGCGACAGAUGCAAGAGGGCGAAGCGGGAGGCCAUGACGGUUGAUGACCUGCUGUCCGAGAUGGCGAAGCAGGGGUUUCAGGACCACAUCGAACCCCUCAAGGCCUACCUGCACAAGUACAAAGUGGAGCUACCUUGCACAACGGAGGUGGAGCCAAACCCCUUGCCCGUGUCUGAUAUCAGGGAUUAGUCUGAGCUUCCACUCGAUGCGCUUUCUGCAAUCUUCAUGAAGCUUGGGACCAUUGAGAUUCUGAUGGGAGCGGGACUUGUGUGCCACUCAUGGCUGGUAGCAGCCAAGUCCCCUGAGUUGUGGCGUUUCGUGGACAUGACACGCCACAAGGUGGUUUUCUCAGAGGCGGAAAAGGUCAUGUGCAAAAUGGCAAAAGUGGCUAUAGAUCGCUCCGAUGGACGGAUGGAAUCGUUCUGGGCUCAGAAGUUUGUCACUAGCGAACUCUUGAAUUAUAUUGCAAGCAGGUGCCACUCACUAAAGAGCAUUCGGCUCAUCGGCACCAUGUACUUUUGGGAUGAUGAGGACGUAGUAAUUAAGCUUGCAGCUAAAUGUCCAAUGCUACAAGAGAUAGAGUGCUCUGAUCAGAAGCAGCCAUGGCCUUUUUUCACGAGGAUCGGCGCAGCGCGCCCAGAGUUGAAACGUCUAAGAGUCCGUUAUCCUUGGUUCGACUCAGAUUCAAUAUUGAUGAAUGACGAAGGCGAGAAGGAGGAGGAGUCUGAUGAGGCCUGGGAGGCGAGACAAAAUCAGGAGGCCUUUGCCAUAGCAGAGAGCUUGCAUGAGUUGCGGCUCCUUCAGAUGUCAGGCUAUGGCCUGACCAACAAAGGGGUAUACGCCAUCCUCGAAGGCUGCCCCCACCUUGAGUUCCUCGACCUUAGAGAAUGCCUCCACAUCGAAGUUAACGCUGAACUCCAAGCUCGUUGUGCCAAUAUCAGGCAUGUCCAGCUGCCAGGAGUGGGGCCUUAUGUACCGUGCCCCGAACUCCAUACCAUCGAGGCGGAUGAAGGUGAAGUGAUCGAGAUGGAUGAUCUCUAUGAAACGGGGGCUCACUCUCUGCGCAACGAGCUAGCGAUGGACAAUGUUUUUUUUUUGAAUUUUCAACGGGGGGGGGGGGGGGAGGAUUCGCCACCUGAAUUGUAUUCAUUUGCCUAUAGGGCUUUGCAGCCCGUUGCAAGAUAGGGUUCAAAUGAACCAGAAGUACAAGGGGCACAAGAGGAGUAGAGAUAAAGCAAUAACAAUCACACUGACAACACAUAUCACAGAGAGAAACAAAGAGGGAAAACACAACAAAACAAAACCAAAGCACAACCAGUGUAAUCGAACGGCAUUGGCCAGCCGAAACCAAGCCACGACACUGCAUCGUCGACCCAAUCGAAGGCUCCACGCAUCCGAGACCGCACAACGCCGCGACACCACCUGUGUCGUGGGGUACAAUCGAAAGGUCGCACGGGGCCGAGACAGCGCCACGACGUCUAUGUGCCACCGGCGAAGUCGAAGGGCAUCGCCAAGCAAACCAAACCAGGACACUGCACCGUCGACGCAAUCGAAAGGCGCCGCGCAUCCGAGACUGCACUACGCCGCGGCACCACCUGUGCCAUGGGGUACAUUCGAAAGGUCACGCGAGGCCAGAUAGCGCCACGACACCUGUGCGCCACCGGCGAGGACGCUGGGCACUGCCAAGCAGAGACACACGAGGGGGCACUCCGAGCACGAACAACAAGAACACCAACGAUGAAGAAGUCCGCCCGAAAGAGAGAGACAGCCACCCCACAAGCCACGACCCUCCCGGGUGGGAGGAAGCCGCAUCCAUGACCGCCACUGCAAAUCCAUGGAGCUCGCCACCCCGCCAGACAAGUGCCCACCGAAGUUGAAAGCAGGACAGGGGGAUCUCCUCACCGCCCACGGCCGCACCCGGCGUUGGGAGCAAGCCGCAUCCAUGGCUGCCAUCUGCAUGCCAAAGACCUGCCGACCUGCGCUACCGCAACAGGUCAAUAGACCGGAGAAGUAGUGACCAACAGCAUCGCCCGGCACCACGCCGGCCAACGCCAGAACGGGAAGCUCCAGGGCACCCACGCCGUACACACGCAAGCGAGAGGGGGAGCCGAGCUGCAGCAGGUGCAGGAAAGGGACGCCCCUAGCGGAUCUGAGACGGAACCGCCCAGAACCAGCUGCGCAUGCCGCAGCACACCCAGGCGGAGACAGAUCGGGGCGAGCCCGGGGAAGCACCGCCGCCUGGGACCACCGCCCGCGCCGCACAGAGGCCACCGCCGUCGGACCAUCCCCGCAGCCGAGCGACACAGGAUGCCCGUGACGCCACCGACCGCACGAGCCGGAGCGUCGACGCGGAGCCACCAGAACCUCCGUGCACGCACCACCGGGACGCCCAGGCUGCAGCAGGUCACGCACGAGGCCAUCACCGCGCCACCAGGGCACAGCCGCCGAGCGGGAAGCACACAGCCCAGCGCCUGCCAGAUCCGUGCGGGAACGGCCAUGAGAGGCCAGAUCCCGCCGCCGCCAGCCGCCGGAGGGCUUUGCCCGGCGGCGGCGAGGGAAGGGAGGGGAGGAGGGGGUUUGGCGGCGGCGGCUGGGGUUGCCCGCCCGAGUCGCCUC